rnacentral:rRNA from 1 species
UACGUAGGGGGCAAGCGUUGUCCGGAUUUAUUGGGUUUAAAGGGUGCGUAGGCGGUCUAAUAAGUCAGUGCUGAAAUAUCCCGGCUUAACCGGGAGGGUGGCAUUGAUACUGUUGGACUUGAGUAGAGUUGAGGUUGGCGGAAUUGACGGUGUAGCGGUGAAAUGCUUAGAUAUCGUCAAGAACACCGAUAGUGAAGACAGCUAACUAAGCUCAAACUGACGCUGAGGCACGAAAGUGUGGGGAUCAAACAGG